CUGAGAUCAUGCCACUCUGCACUCCAGCCUGGGCGACAGCACAAGACUCACUCUCAAAAAAAGAAUCAGCUGGAGUUGCUCAGUGUCAUGCUCAUUGCAUGUUCUUUUGCGUAAUGACUUUGGGAUGCCUUGACUGCAGCAGGAACCAACAUCCUGGCUUUAUCAGUUGUGCUAGCUAUUUCUCCAACUGUGAGCCUCUGCAGGAAGGAACCAGUUCUCAUCCCACACACAAUGCUGAACUCACGGCCAGGUACCCUAAAUGUGCUGAAUCUUAAGGAUGAGCUUUCCAGAGUCAGGAGGCUAGAAGAUGAAGACCAUCAUUCUCAUUUUCAAAACAUCACAUGAGCAGAAAGGGUCAUGCUGAUGACCUGAAACUUUUCCCUGUUCAAGCUGCCCUCCCUUGGCACAUGACAGAAAAAAGUAACAACAGGACUCAAUCCCAUCCCUUCAGAGGAAGCCUUUAUUGUAACAUAAAAUACACAAUUUUGUGACUGCCCCAAAUUGUACACAAUACUUUUUUUUUGGUGGCUAAAUAACUAAUCUGCCUUGACACUAAAAUAUGUAUCUGAAAUAAUUUCACAAAGUUUUAAAAAGAAAAAUUAUAAAAAGUAUACUUUCAUUUGACUUUAGUCUCCCCCUACCCCCUACAAAACCCUGCACGUACCACACACGGAGCUGAAACAUUUGAGGACUUGUGUGUGUCUGGGAGUGGGUGGGAGGCUGAUGGGGUGGAGACACACCACUACCUUUCCUCGUGGUUUGCAGGGGCAGGGAGAAGAGAGAAGAUAGAACGCAGAGAGCAAACACACCUUUUGUCAAAAAUCUCCCCUCUCUAGGCACAGCCUCGGUAACACCGAGGACAGCUCACAGCUGGAGGAGCAGGGGAACCCCACGCUCAGCGAAGCCACACUCAUCGCCUAUCUUCCUCCCAGACCCAGUGCCAACUGCAAAGUGAGCUCCAAGCAGCCCGGGACUGUCUGGCUGCUCUGUUCUCAGCAGGCCCUGGGCUGGGUCCACUCCCAACCUGAAAGUGUAUCAAGUCCGACCCUCCCAGGGUUGCUGGAACAGAGUGGGAGGUCUCAGAGGCAGGUGCCGGUGAAGAAUCUAUGGGUGGUGGGCAGGGAGGGUCUCUCUAAGCCUGGGUCCCUGAGCAGUCAGGCUCUCCUUCUCGUCCUUCCCCGACGCACCCAUCCUUGUGGUGGGAAUUUUCAAAUCCUGGGGGGGAGGGAGGGGCUGAGAGGGAUGGGGGUCGCCUGCUCCUCAUAGGCAGAGAGACUCUACUGCCUGGCAUAGAAAAAUAAAUCAAUAUAUGAAACCAAGCCAAGGCAAACGGCAGCUUUAAAAAAGUCAUCUUCCAAUAAAUAAUUUACUAUAGAGGAAUAUUUUUCUUUAACAGCAAAACACUGAUAAGUUCAGAAGUUAUUUUUGUAAAAAAAAUAUGUUUAUUUACUCUCAUGUAUAAAAAUAAGGUUUUUGGGGCCAUCCUCUCCUGGGGGUGGUCACGCCCUUCUUUUGGAGAGGGGGCCGAGGGUGACCUUUUAGGCCUUACCCGUAAGCUAUUGUAAUACACCUGCUCACCCCCCUCGUCCCCCACUGCCUGCCGUAACCCAUUUCUUCCUUCUGGUGUAAAGCUACAGAAAAAAUUGUGGAACAAAAUUAUACUGAGGCUUUUUUGUUUUGUUUCGUUUUAUACUUAAUCAAACUCCCCAGCAAACCUGGUGACUGCAUUUCCCCACAUCACCAACACCCGGCACCCAGGACCCCACACAGGGUGACCCGUUGAGCAGGCUGGCCUAGGUUCAGCCCACACUGCUGCCACCUACUCUUCAGUAUGCCAUGUAUGAACAGAAAAGGGGAAUGUGGUGACCUGGGUUUGGAUGACCCAGGGCCCAAUGCAGAAGAAUUCUGAUGUCAAAUUAGGGUGGGAAGGGGAAAACAAAAAAGA